rnacentral:rRNA from 1 species
AUUGAACGCUGGCGGCAUGCCUUACACAUGCAAGUCGAACGGUAACGCGGGGCAACCUGGCGACGAGUGGCGAACGGGUGAGUAAUGCAUCGGAACGUACCCAGUUGUGGGAGAUAGCUCGGCGAAAGCCGGAUUAAUACCGCAUACGACCUACGGGUGAAAGCGGGGGAUCGCAAGACCUCGCGCAGUUGGAGCGGCCGAUGUCAGAUUAGGUUGUUGGUGGGGUAAAGGCUCACCAAGCCGACGAUCUGUAGCUGGUCUGAGAGGACGACCAGCCACACUGGGACUGAGACACGGCCCAGACUCCUACGGGAGGCAGCAGUGGGGAAUUUUGGACAAUGGGGGCAACCCUGAUCCAGCCAUGCCGCGGGCGGGAAGAAGGCCUUCGGGUUGUAAACCGCCUUUGUCGGGGAAGAAAUCUUCCGGGCUAAUACCCCGGGAGGAUGACGGUACCCGAAGAAUAAGCACCGGCUAACUACGUGCCAGCAGCCGCCGUAA